rnacentral:rRNA from 1 species
AUUGAACGCUGGCGGAAUGCUUUACACAUGCAAGUCGAACGGUAGAGGGGGCAACCCCUCGAGAGUGGCGAACGGGUGGGUAAUAUAUCGGAACGUGCCCAGUCGUGGGGGAUAACGUAGCGAAAGUUACGCUGAUACCGCAUACGAUCUAAGGAUGAAAGCGGGGGAUCGCAAGACCUCGCGCGAUUGGAGCGGCCGAUAUCAGAUUAGGUAGUUGGUGGGGUAAAGGCUCACCAAGCCAACGAUCUGUAGCUGGUCUGAGAGGACGACCAGCCACACUGGAACUGAGACACGGUCCAGACUCCUACGGGAGGCAGCAGUGGGGAAUUUUGGACAAUGGACGCAAGUCUGAUCCAGCCAUUCCGCGUGCAGGAUGAAGGCCCUCGGGUUGUAAACUGCUUUUGUACGAAACGAAAAGGUCUCUCUUAAUACGGGGGGCUCAUGACGGUACCGUAAGAAUAAGCACCGGCUAACUACGUGCCAGCCGCCGCAGUAA